AACCUUCAUUUCUCCUUACCCUAGCAAGGGUUGAAGUUUGGCAGCAUACUGAUGAAAAAAGAAAUUACGUGAGUGGCAGAAAAGACAAGAGUGAUCCUAGCACGGUUGGCUAGGCACAGAGAGAUGAUACACAAUGACUUCAUUAAAAUUUCUUUCCUGCCAAAGGGAUGCAAUAAGAUGGGUAGAGGAUGUUUUCAUUUCAACAUAUAUGCUAAUUGCCACUCUACUCUCAGGAAAACAUCACAUGAAGAAAAUGCAGCCUUCAUUGAAGACCAGGGAAGACUGUUCUGAAUUCCUGAGCUUCAUGAAAGACUCUGGGGGUAGUUUGUUAUUCUUUUAACCUUAAUGGAACUUUUGUACUUGGGAAAUGUUUCAUGGCUACGUGUUCCUUCAUGCUCCCACUUCAAGGAAGACCUCCUAACCCCCCCUAGUCACUCUAAACCCCUGCCUGCCACUUCCAUGAUUUCCCUGCUGGUGAAAAGCAGAUCCAGAAAAGCCUGCCUUCCAGAUGUGUUUUCUAAAAUUAACCCACAACACCUGCUGGGAAGUCUGGUUGAGAUUCUUCAAACCCAACAGAGAUUCAUGUUGCAAUACAAAACGACAGGGAGAACAAAGCAUGGUGGUUGCCUGCAGGUAUCACCUUCUCAGCAUUGCUGUCCAUCAGGCAGAGAAGGUUAAGACCUCACCAGGUUCUCUGAGCUUACACAAGCCACGUUCAAGGGAAGUGAGAGCCAAAAGCCAUUACAGCAUUGAUCCCAAGGCUGUUGUCAGUGUUGGAACAGGUCCCAGCUGAAUGUUAAUUUCUUCUUAGCACAAGGACUCACAUCUUGGGAACAAAACCAAAUGCUGUCAGACUUUGGAACAGUAUGGCCACAGGAUGGAAAGUUGAACAUCUCUCUACUACAGACUCAAGCUGGAUGAUUUAUGAGCCAUGUGUGGGCUGCACUCCCCCCAGGAAGAAACGCGGGUGUUUCUGCUGACUCAGUCCUAGCCAGAGUCCCCUGAACGCGCUGGAGCCACCUGAUUCUUGGAGAGCCUGGAAGUCAUUUCCAGCCUAGUGUGUUUCAUUUUGAAGUUUAGUCAAACGGCGCAGCCAGAUGGAGCAGUAGAUUGUCCUGGAGAAAACAACAUCUCAAAGUGGAACUUUAAAUAAAAUAGAGAGAGAAAACUAGGAAAAGAGGGAGGAGGCUAACUUUGACAUGUCCCUAGAGAAGCAAAAACUUUAUCUCAAAUGCCAGAGUGAUGUGAGCAGCUGGAAGGACAGGAUUCGAGGACUGAACUUUUGGGUGGAGUUUUGGGGGUCAAAGGAAUAUUUCUGCAAGCCACUCCACCUGUCAGCAACCAGUCUGAACCCACCUGCCUUUCUACUGGGAGUGCCCUGAAAACUUCAUGUUAGCCUUUUCUAAACUGCACUUCAGCUCUUCUGACACCACACUCGAGCCACAAUCUUGGAGCUUCUGCCAUUAAUACAUUAAGCAGCUUCUUGGAUUUGAUGGCCGGGAGGGCCCACAAGGACCAGCGAGGAUAGCUGGUGGGUUCCUGUCCACUCUAACAGAAUUCUUCUUUGAAUUCUUGCCUGCCCCUUACAAAAACCUAGAUUUAAAAAAUUCCCACAUGGGGAGGAUUCACCAGUAGCCUUGACACGUUGUACCAGGUAUUAGUUAUCCUUGCUGUUAAAAUAUGUCCAGUCUAUUUGAUAACUUGUCUGUAAGCUGUUUCCAACCUGCCACAAGUAGAUGCUUGCCCUUUUGCUUCAGAGUUGAAGAAAGGAGUCAACCUGAGAAGUGGCCACAUUUUCCUACCUCCAUGUCAACUUCUCUGCUUGGGCAUUGCCACCUUCAUUCAGCCUCAUCCAGGGAGAAAACUCCUUAGAGGCAGGGAUGGACCUGCCUCCUGAGGUGUGCUGUGGCACCUGAGUGACAUGGCCCAGUGCAACAUCAGACAAAUACUCCAAACAAUUCUGAAUUACCCACCAGCUUAUUUAUCAGGAGCAAUAUUAUUCUAACACAGUGCUACCUCCACCUAAGUCACCUGCCCAUAAAGUUUCCUAUAGACAAGCUAAGCUUACAGCCCACUGCCCCGCUUGCUGGGUCAUCAGGGUGAGCUGGGCAGGAGGCAAAGCGUGAAGGGGUACUUUGGGUGGUGCUCACCGUGGCUGCACACAAGACGAAGUGCAGAGAGUGAAUGCUGCCUUACAGCAUGCCAGAAGGAGCAGUCAGGGGAACAUCUGGAAAGAGGUAGGAACUGAGGAGCAGUGGGAUCCAUUCUAGGACAUGGCACACUGCUUACACUGGCAGCAUUCAGAUAGCCUCCAUAAAGGGCAUCUUUUCAGCUCUGCAGAGCCCGUUUGAGUGAAUAAUAGUAGGUUUUUUUCUAUUUGUUUUUAUCUUGUGUAACUGGAUUUUUAACUAGUUGUAAGUAUAUCUGUUUACUGAAGCCUGUCUUCUAAAAGAAUAAUUUAUCUGUAUUAAACUUCCUUCAGUGCUUAGCCAAUGGGUCUAAUUUGGCCACAUAUAUUUUCAGACACUCUCAAUGUUUAUUUUACAGAGCUAUAUGUUUGCAGAUCCUAUUUUACUGUCUAACAGCACUGGAUCUUAUCCAUCUCUCUCGUCAUCUCAUUUUUUCUCCGAAAAACUCACUGUACAAUUUCCAAAUUCCUAAUUUCAUCCUGAUGUAGUCAUUGCAAGGCUCCUGCUUGGGGAACAAUAAGAGAGUGAGUAAAAUUUCAAUACUUGUCCUGAAUGUUUGUAUUAGUGACUUCUGUAGUUUUUCCUCACUUUUAUACCAGCAAGGAUUACAAGCCUUUGCAUACUUCUUAUGCUGUGUAAAGACCUAGAUGCGUGAUCAAGUUACCAUGGUCUAAAUAAGUUACUACAGGUCAGCUGAGGAGUAGUAAUUACCUGCAUAUGUAGCAGAACUA